rnacentral:lncRNA from 1 species
AGGCCCCUCCAUCUGAACUUCCAGCUUAGUUUUCUGAGCAUGGAGGCUGAGGAACUCAAGUGAGUGGGUGUUCGCAGCCUGGCAGCACAUUGGAAUCACCUGGGGUGCUUUGAAAACUACAGCUGUUCGGGCCAGCACAGGCUAAUUAAAUUAGCAUUUUGAGGGAGGGGGUGCCCUGAUGACAGCAUGUUUCAAAGCCUCUUCAGGUGAUCAUAGUCGGCAUCAGGGUGAAGAGCCAUUGGCCUACGGCAGUGGUCCUCAGUCACCUGGUGAGCUUGUUAAACCACAGUUUGCGGGGCCCCAUCCCACACUUUCUCAUUCAACGGGUCGGGGGUGGGGUGGAGUCUGAGAAUCUGCAUUUCUACCCAGCAACCAGGUGCUGCUGCUCCUGGGCUCCCACUGAGGACCACUGGCUCAGCCCAAGUCUCCUUCAAAGCUAGUGCCAGUGAGCCCAGGUUUGGGAUCCCUCCCAGCCUUGGAUCCUGGCGUGGCAGAUCCAGCAUCUGGUUCUAGCUCUGCUACCAUCCAAUCCUGGACUGCUCACAUCCUUCUCUGGGCCUCGGACAACACUCUCUCUCAAGUGCCUUUUAAGCUCUCAGAAUCUUUGAUUAUGAAUUGUAAGUGGGAUGAAGCAGCAUUUCCAGCUGAUGAACAGACCCACAGGUCACAGGAUGUCUCCUAAAGUAAGCUUGUGGCAGGCAACUGCAGCAAUGAGGAAACUGUUGACCAGGGACAACCGGGAAUACUCAUCUCAGUACAGGCGGGAAUCUGUUCUUCAGAAAGUCAUGGAUCAGCUUCCGGGUAUAAGAGGGAGCCGGGGUCCAGCCCCAAGCGAUUUAGCUGGUACAGCGAAAAGAGGAGAGUCGUCGGCAUGAGACCUAGUUUAAAAUCCCAUCUCCGCCACGUUUUGGCUGCCACUGCUGUUCACACCUGUAACAGGUGAUUGACCAUCUGUACUUGCCGGGGUUUUUGUGUGGCUUUGGUGAGAGUCGAUGCUGGGCAUCCCUUGGGAGCUCCACGAAUAUUUUAGUCCUGCCUGUUGGGAUUCCUCUCUCAGAGACCUCGGACGAUCUCAAGGUCUUCCCUGUGCCAUUCGGGACUGGGUUAAAACAGUUUGGAGAGCAUAUGUUGGCUGGGACAGGCAGCCAGCCCCCUUGAUGGAGAACAGAUGACUGCCCCUCGAACACCUGGAGAUAAAGCCCCAAACCUUUGGCUGCAGAACCUCAGAACAAGCACGCUGCUCUGCCGGCAGCCGGGCUCUGGGUUUUGGCCAGUCUCAAUCAGUAAAGAAAAGGUCAGAAGCCCUCAGGAUCAAAGUCAGCCACUCCACAGACCUCCCUGGCAGGUUUGUCCUCGGAUUGUUUCACAUCUUAGAGCUUUUGAUCUUCAUUUCUUCCCGAGCCUGCAACUGGGAGCAUGGAUGUCUGCAGGCUGUUGGAGGGUGAGGGGCUAAAGCUCUUCUCUCACCCACUCUGCCUCUCCCUGCCAGCUUUGAGCAGCAGCAGACAGCGUGACAAAUGGCUCAUCAGCAUGUGUCCCUGUCAAUGUAGCCAUUCUGCUACGGCUGGACACCUAUGUGGCUUCAGUCAUAAGUAACAUUGUGAUGACCACUGCAAGAGACCCCAGAAACCAUUGAGGGAAGUUGGCAAAGACAGUGGCCGUGCUCGCUCCACAGAUGAGAUUUCCCAGGAAGGAAAGUUGAGCAAUUUAAAGCAAAACUGAAAACAUUGAAGGAAGUCUUCCUCAUCAGUAUCUCUCAUCCUUCCUUGCCUUAGCAAACAGACCACACUGAUGAGACCCUUUCUCAUGCAUCAGAGUCUAUAUCAGAGCCACCAUUUUUGCCCUACAUUGCUGUGAUUGCUGGAGCCUUUGAUAUGAAAGCUACUUCUGGAGUCGGGGCCAGCGGUUGAGAAGCCAGCAAAAUCUCCUGACGUCCCUCAAGAAGGUCACCACCUCCUCGUGCCUCACAUGCUUCAACAGGAGACAGAGAUAAAUUUCAGCUCUGGCUGAGUGUCAGCAUCCUUACAGAGACCAGAGAGGGGCAGUCUGCGGUGCGGGCAGCUUCUUUAGUUAUUUUGGUGAUUAUAUUUUCAGUUCAGUAAAUUGACUUGUUCUAUUUGGUUCUUUUCCAAAUCUGCCGUGUCACUGUUUAUAAGGUCUAGUUCUUUGCCAGUUUUUUCAAGUCUGACUUUUACCUCUUUGAACACAGUAGGUAUAGUUAGUUCAUGGUCCUCUACCCAGAGUGCCUGUUGAUUUGUAUCUCUUCUCUGUUUUUUCCUACCCGUUUUCACUCAUGGGGUCUUGUCUCCUGUCUGCUUGGUUGUCUCUGAGUAUCGGCUACUGUGUUUGAAAAAUUAUUUGUAGGAAUAAUUGGAGGCAUAGAAUGACGCUGUCUUCCUCUAAGGAGGAUUUUAAAUUUCUUUUGCAGUUGGCUGGGAGCUCUAGAAUCUGAGAUAAGCUUGACCCAAGGGAGGUCCCUGGGCUCCUCAAAAGCCUCGAAGCAGGUGGCAGUCCUUGCAACAGCCACUUUGCUUCUGGUCCACCCCAAACCAGGAGAUGGAGCCCUGCAGGCUUUGUGAUUUUUUUUCUACCUUUUUUCCCCUGAACUUUCUAAAAUGUCUAUAUAAUGAUCUUAGAAUAUUGUUUUAAAUUAGAAUAAAUAAUCAUGCAAACAAAGAAAUGUUAAGGGAGAGAUCGUUCAGUCUCUGCGUGUCUGCGUGUGAAAGUGCCCAAUUCUAGAGGAGAGGACGGUCAUCUGAAGGUCGGUAGAUACAGGGGUGGAUCAGCACUUGCCUGAAGAAGGCAAAGAUGCUACAGGAGGCCCAUGUCUACUUGAACCCAGAACAGAAACCACAGAGGUUGCAGCUCCCUCCUCCCAGUUGGUGACCUCAAGGCCUCCAGGAAAUUAUGUAUAAGGGAUGUGAGUCUCUCCCCUCCUCCUCCCCACAAAGUCCCACAAACAGCAGACAUCUCUACUCAAUCACAGCACUUGAUUUUGAUCUUCCCCAUGUUAGCAAAACUUUAAAAAAUUAUUUUCCAGCAAAUGACCAGAUAAUAUGCAAUGCUUUGAAUGCACCAUGAUUUAUCUGAUCAUUACAAUGGUGGGUAUUUAGGCUGUUUACAUUUCCCCCUUGUUAGGAAAUAUUUGUAAUGAACAUCUUUGUGCCUAGCUCUUUGCCAACAUUUUGAAUUAUUUCUUUGGAGAUAGAUUCCUAACAAUGGGUAAAGGAUGUGAACAUCUGUCAGGUUUUUGAUAUCUAUUGCCAAAUUACUUUCUAGAAAAU